UCCUAAAGGGGUCAACUGACCAUUUUGGUCAUGCUGACUUAUUUGUAAAUCUUACUUUGCUGAACAUUAUUGCUGUUUACAGUUUAUCUCUAUCUAUAAUAAUAUUCAAGAUAAUAACCAAAAACAGCAAAAUUUCCUUAAAAUUACCAAUUCAGGGGCAGCAACCCAACAACAGGUUGUCCGAUUCAUCUGAAAAUUUCAGGACAGAUAGAUCUUGACCUGAUAAACACUUUUACCGC
rnacentral:lncRNA from 1 species